GGGGUUGUGGCUCAAUGGUAAAGCACUUGCUUAGCAUGCAUGAGGCACUGGGUUCUACUCCCAGCCCCA
rnacentral:tRNA from 1 species